rnacentral:rRNA from 1 species
GCAAAACGCGAAGAACCUUACCAAGGCUUAAAUGUAUUAUGACCGUCCUGGAAACAGGACUUUCUUCGGACAGAAUGCAAGGUGCUGCAUGGCUGUCGUCAGCUCGUGCCGUGAGGUGUCAGGUUAAGUCCUAUAACGAGCGCAACCCCUAUCACUAGUUGCCAGCGUUCAAGACGGGGACUCUAGUGAGACUGCCAACGCAAGUUGCGAGGAAGGUGGGGACGACGUCAAGUCAUCACGGCCCUUACGCCUUGGGCCACACACGUGCUACAAUGGCCGGUACAGAGGGCAGCUACUAUGUGAAUAGAUGCGAAUCUCGAAAGCCGGUCUCAGUUCGGAUUGGAGUCUGCAACUCGACUCUAUGAAGCUGGAAUCGCUAGUAAUCGCAUAUCAGCCAUGAUGCGGUGAAUACGUUCCCGGGUCUUGUACACACCG